UGGCUACGUGCUUGGCGGGUCAGUGGAGAGAUGGCUGGCUAACGUGCUUGGCGGUAAUGCUGAAGAACUGCUGUUGUGAUGACUAUUUUCAUCGGCAAUGUCAUAUUAGACGCUCAGCUGUGGGAUGGCAAGAUGGCUCGGAGGGUGAAGGCACUUGCUGCCCAGCCUGAUGAUCUGAGAUUGAACUCCAGGACCCACAAGAUAAGGUGAGAUUUCAAUGAUUCACAUCGACCUCGGGAACCCGCAACCUCAGUCUCUCGUAUCGGAUCAGAUGUCACUCAACACCUCAAUGUUAGAAUUGCAAGCAUGUGCGCUCCCACCUGGGUAGGCACUUCGAAAUAACGGUGACUGAACACAGAUGUGAGGUACCAAGCUAACUCACGUCCUUAUGGGACAGUGAGUCAGUCUAAUUCCAUCCUCUCCACCAAGCAAUAAUGCACAUUUCUGACUGCUUACGUCAAGCGGACACCAACACUUCGCAAAGUCGUGCCUAUUUCUGACGAGUUAAGUCAGGCGGCAACCAACACUUCCAACUAGCCUUUUCCUCAGCUUCGAGUGACACAAGGUAGAACCAACCACUCGCUACCAUAAUGCACCAAUUCUACCCUUGGGCAAAUCCCGCCAAGUGGCCAGAGCCCGCCAAAAAUGUACCAAAGGAAACCCCUUGAGGGCUGAUCACAUGACAACCGCCAUCUUAGACAAACUCAAGAGCAUGUGCCACUUUGUCCCUAAACUGACUCAGCCAUGAAGCUGACAUGUGAAACACAAAGCCCUCCGCCUUAUACUGCAGCAAGAGCUUGAGCCGCCAUCUUUUCUUGUAUGACCUAAAUGCCCUAUCUCCAUUGCUACAUGUUAGAGCCAACGUAGGGCUGUCGAGCUUCGGGUGCGGUACCCGAGCCGCCAUUUUGUAGACAUCUAAGCAGCCCUUAGAGCUACGGGGGGCCCCGCCAGGGGUCCAAAUGCACAUGCGGAACCCUAUCCCCUAGUCCUCUGCGGCUUCCACCCAAACACCGCACACGAACAUUAGCGCUCCUUGGCUUUCUACUUCUGAAUAGCACAAUUCCUCCAAACGCUGCCACAAAUCAAGUCCAAACCCGCACAUAUAAAGAAAGCCUUUAGCUAGCGCAGCGCACAUGGUUGGCUUCUAUCCAGUUCCCUGCGCUCCUCGGCGUCCUAAUUCUUGCGUAACUGGCUCGAGAAUAUCUGUGUCACGCAGAAACCGUAAGAUGGCGGACACGGGUUCUCCACGCCCUGAACACCCACUAGGCUUAAUCGCCAAGUCGUUUUUCUAAGCCAUAGGUUCACUCACACAGCCAAACGAUCAGCACCAACAGCAAACGGAAAUAAAAAGGCAUAGAUAUAUUCCAGGUAGUUCAAUAACUCACAAAACCAUUAUUUCCAUCCACCAAAUGCCCCGAUGGGCCGUGAAAAAAAAAAUUAAAGCAGGUAUCCACAGCCCCGAUGGGCAAAAGGAAAAGAAAAAAAAAUUAAAGCAGGUAUCCGAGGCCCCGUUGGGCAUGGGAAAAAAACUAAACGCAGGUAUCCGAGGUCCCGAUGGACCGAGAAAUACGGCGUUUUUUGGUAAAAAGCAGGUAUCCAUGGCCCCGAUGGGCUAAGGAGAAGAAGAAAAAAAGAAUAAAAGCAGGUAUCCACAACCCAGAUGGGCAAGUUUAGAAGAAGAAAAGUAAGAAGAAGAAAAAAGGAUUAAAAGGCAGGUUAAGUAUCCCAAGCCCAGCUGGACAUGGAAUGGCUGGGAGGACACACAGGUAUCCGUGGCCCCGAUGGGCAAAAAAAAUGUAAAAACAGUUAAAGAAAGAAAGGUAAGUCCACCACACACAGCUGUCAACUAAAAUGCACGACAGACAAAUACUCCUUAGAAAUGAAAAAUAGACCAAAAAUAUUACAAAUAUCAAAAAAUAUGGAGGACGUGUCAAGAAAACCUUACGAGAACAUAUCAAAACAUCAAAAAUCUUAUGUAAUUUUGAUAUGUUUUCUUAAAUACACCAUAAGGCAUGGUGGUAGGGGGAUUAAAAAUGUUCCCCAAAAGCCCUUUAGAUGGAGAGAAACCACGGAGGAAACCUCACAUCCACGGGAGACGAGCAAAUAUGGCUGCAGCAAGCAGUUGCUCGCCUUUAACUGACUGGCGCGCUGAAGGCGGAGAGACCAGAAGAGGAGUGGCCACAAAGAUUGGAAGUCUGACAUCUUAUUGGACCUUUAGUUCCAACUAUAUUCUUAAAAAUGAACAUAAAUAAAGAUGGUGGUACGUAAGCUCA
rnacentral:sRNA from 1 species